rnacentral:rRNA from 1 species
AUUGAACGCUGGCGGCAGGCUUAACACAUGCAAGUCGAACGAGUGGCGGACGGGUGAGUAAUGCUUGGGAAUCUAGCUUAUGGAGGGGGAUAACUACGGGAAACGGUAGCUAAUACCGCAUACCAUAGGAUGUGCCCAAGUGGGAUUAGCUAGUUGGUGGGGUAAAGGCUCACCAAGCCGACGAUCGCUAGCUGGUCUGAGAGGAUGACCAGCCACACUGGAACUGAGACACGGCCCAGACUCCUACGGGAGGCAGCAGUGGGGAAUAGUGCGCAAUGGGCGCAAGCCUGACGCAGCCAUGCCGCGUGUAUGAAGAAGGCCUUCGGGUUGUAAAGUACUUUCAGUCGGGAGGCGUUACCGACAGAAGAAGCACCGGCUAACUCCGUGCCAGCAGCCGCGGUAAUAC